rnacentral:rRNA from 1 species
GAUGAACGCUGGCGGCGUGCCUAAUACAUGCAAGUCGAGCGAACGGACGAGAAGCUUGCUUCUCUGAUGUUAGCGGCGGACGGGUGAGUAACACGUGGAUAACCUACCUAUAAGACUGGGAUAACUUCGGGAAACCGUAGCUAAUACCGGAUAAUAUUUUGAACCGCAUGGUUCAAAAGUGAAAGACGGUCUUGCUGUCACUUAUAGAUGGAUCCGCGCUGCAUUAGCUAGUUGGUAAGGUAACGGCUUACCAAGGCAACGAUGCAUAGCCGACCUGAGAGGAUGAUCGGCCACACUGGAACUGAGACACGGUCCAGACUCCUACGGGAGGCAGCAGUAGGGAAUCUUCCGCAAUGGGCGAAAGCCUGACGGAGCAACGCCGCGUGAGUGAUGAAGGUCUUCGGGUCGUAAAACUCUGUUAUUAGGGAAGAACAUAUGUGUAAGUAACUGUGCACGUCUUGACGGUACCUAAUCAGAAAGCCACGGCUAACUACGUG